UUUGACCAAGUGUAAGUUGAUAACAGCUUUUCUUCUUGACCUUUAGAACUACUUGUAGAUGUCUAGUCAAUCUCCCAAUGGGAUUCUUUAAUGGAUGUUUUUAUAAAUGGACUGAAGCAGAAAAUACGCCAAUGUUGUGUACAAAGGUAAUUUUUGGAAGUUAUAACUUCCUUAGCUUGCUUCCAAGGAGGAAAUUUUAAGACUAUUUACUCGAAAGUCGACAUAUCUUUAGCAAAGAGUGCUCGUUUCAAGAACUUAUAAAUAUUCAUGAGCGAUUGUAAAUCUUCCUUGUUGGAGACCAGAUUCUAUUCGAGGAAGCACGUGCGUCAGACGAUGUAAUUCCGGAAGUCAGUGUAGUGAGGUGUUUGAAUGAAAUAAAAUACUACCCACAUAUAUAAAGGAGGACUGCGUGAUCAUUCCAUUAUCGUGCGGCUCAACAUUUGUUGCGACUUUUCAUCAAAGGCAAUUUUGUGCUAGCAUUGGUACCUCCUCAAUCAGGUAUAUCUAAAGUCGGUACAAUUAGAGGAAGCAUGUUUAAAAGUGCAUCCCUUACCUUGCUGCUCCUUGCCACACCUGUGCUACUGACGCUGUUUAUGGAGUUGUCAGAGGCGUACACCAUCCCAGAUAAAGAAAUUGACAAACGGCAUGAUUUGAGUGACUUACUGACCAGGAUUAUGGCUCGGUAUGGGCAAAGCAGUGACUAUAACAGUCCCCUUUAUAUGCGCUUCGGAGCUGCUGGUCGGAAGUAAUUUACAUUAUGACACUGUGUAAGUGGAAUCAGAACCUGGUGUUUGCGAUGCCAUCCCAUAAACACGAACUACUAAAUUUCCAAAUCAAUAACCACCUGCAAUGGAAAAACUACCAGAUAUCUUUUCUUCUUUUUUUUUUUACUUCUUUUUUUCAAGGUCGAGUGGAACGAACAUAUUUUGUACUCGUACAUAUCGAAAAACCGUUUAAUUGAAAUAAAAUAAAAUCUUCAGUUCCUCUAAA